UCCCUUGUAGCUCAGUCGGUAAAGAAUCUGCCUGCAAUGCAGGAGACCCGGGUUCAAUUCCUGGGUUGGGAA
rnacentral:tRNA from 1 species